AUUUAUGUAAAAUCGAAAGAAAAGGAAUAUAUGAUAGAGAAUGACGAUGAAGGGUGUGUUAUAGAUAAAGAAAGAAACAACACGAAUGAUAAUGAGAAUAAUCCAGAUGCCGAUCAAACAGUGUCGCAUGAUUUUAACAAUACAAAUGACUUUAUAGAUCAUGAUAAUAUGUAUACGACAGUUAAUCAAGAAAAAAAAAAUAGAAUGAUUGACAAAAGAUUUUUUGCAACGUCAAAUAUAAAUACAAGCAUGUUACAUGACAUUGGAGAGCGUGAAGAUGUUGAUGGCGGCUAUAAUGGAAAUUACGACAAUUACAAAAAAAGUUAUAAAAACAAAAACUAUAAUGAAGUAGAAAACUAUAACGAAGGAGAAAACUAUAAUGAGAACGAAGACGAAGACGAUAACGAAGUAGAUGAUGAAAAAGAGGCUAAAGAAAUUAUCGAUAAAAUGUACAAUAUUCAACUCAGUCAUAUAAAGGCAAUAAAAGUAAUUUACAGUGUUUUCUAUACAAGUAACGUUUUUGAAAUAUAUAUGUCUAUGUUUUUAAAUAAAUAUAUAAAUUAUUCUCUGUUAAAUAAUUUUAUAAUUCUUCUUAUUUAUUCAACUGAAGUAAUAAGUAUUGAGUAUAUGAAAAUUGAAAAUGUGAAAAGUAAAUUUGAUAACGUCAAUGAUGGCGUAAAAGAAGUUGACCACACACACAACAGUAAGGUGAGUGUUGAUGAUAAAUACGAAUGCGAUAAUAAUAAUAAUAUAAACAAUAUAAAUAAUAACAAUUACAAUAAUAAUAUGAAUAAUUAUAAUUAUAAUUAUAAUAAUAGUGGCGAUAAUAACAGAUACAAUAACAAUGGUGAUGGUUACAAUCAUGAUGUCAAUUAUGACACUGUUAAUAAUUAUAACCCCGGGCACACUUUUUACGAUGAUGACAGUAACGACGAGUCAGAUAAAAGCGACCAACACGACAAGAACGACCAACAAGACAAGAACGACCAACAAGACAAGAACGACCAACAAGACAACAAAGAUAAACUCGAAACUAACCCCUCUGAGUUUAUCACGAAAACCUUUACUAAUAACAUAAACGUAGAUGAAGUUGAUAUGGAUUAUUAUAUACAAAUAAAUUUAGCAAUUAAAUUAAUUACAAAAAAUUACAUUUUAUUAUGGAUAGACUCUAUAAUAAACCAAUUGUUAUUUGUCGAUAAAAAAGUACUAAAUUAUCCUUGUUCCUUUUCACUUCCCCUAUUAAAUUUUUAUGACCAA
rnacentral:lncRNA from 1 species